rnacentral:rRNA from 1 species
UUAGCGGCGGACGGGUGAGUAACACGUGGGCAACCUGCCUGUAAGACUGGGAUAACUUCGGGAAACCGGAGCUAAUACCGGAUAAUUCAUUUCCUCUCAUGAGGAAAUGCUGAAAGACGGUUUCGGCUGUCACUUACAGAUGGGCCCGCGGCGCAUUAGCUAGUUGGUGAGGUAACGGCUCACCAAGGCAACGAUGCGUAGCCGACCUGAGAGGGUGAUCGGCCACACUGGGACUGAGACACGGCCCAGACUCCUACGGGAGGCAGCAGUAGGGAAUCUUCCACAAUGGACGAAAGUCUGAUGGAGCAACGCCGCGUGAGCGAUGAAGGCCUUCGGGUCGUAAAGCUCUGUUGUUAGGGAAGAACAAGUACCGGAGUAACUGCCGGUACCUUGACGGUACCUAACCAGAAAGCCACGGCUAACUACGUGCCAGCAGCCGCGGUAAUACGUAGGUGGCAAGCGUUGUCCGGAAUUAUUGGGCGUAAAGCGCGCGCAGGCGGUCCUUUAAGUCUGAUGUGAAAGCCCACGGCUCAACCGUGGAGGGUCAUUGGAAACUGGGGGACUUGAGUGCAGAAGAGGAAAGCGGAAUUCCACGUGUAGCGGUGAAAUGCGUAGAGAUGU